rnacentral:lncRNA from 1 species
UUUUUUUUUUUUUUACAGGGACGAAAAUCAAAAUGAGCCCAAAUUACAGGGACAGUUUGCAUAUUUAAGCCUAUAAUUAAUUUCCUUCGAUCGAAACAAAUUGACCUCCUCGCCACAUCCUAUGCAUUGUCUUGAUUUCUCAACUACAAUAUAAAAAAUUGUGGGUAAACCACACCCACAUUUCUAGAGGGUAUAGUAGAGGGUCAAAAUCUUAAAAGAACAUACAUACAAAAACAAAGCAUGCAAGAAUACAUGGCGUGAUAAACGCCAUAAAGUAAAAAAUUCCACAUACAAGAUGCGGUGAUGUAAAAUUAGUCAAAAAAAUUUAGUGUUUUGCAGCGAGAAAUCAUGUUUCUCGACAAAUCCAAGACAUCAUGUGAAGGAUUAAGCAUAUGAAGAUUGAACUCAAUGGUUCUUAGAAGGUUCUUGAAGACAAUACAAAGUGAAGAAAAUUCAUUUCAAGUUCCUAGGAGUUUACAAACGAAAGAACAGUCGAAAACAUGACGAAAACACAAGAAAUCGCCGGGAGAGGCUGCCAGAUGCGCCUGGAAUAUGCCCCCCUGCACAUGAAGUAGCAUUUUCUACUGCCUCAUGCGCCCUUGUGUCUAGGUUCAUGCGCCCCUAUGCACUGAUGCGGAUAAAAACACCAGUUUCCUUGUUUUUUAAGUUGAAUCAGUGCAAAAAAACCCAAUUUUCUUCUCUAAAACCCUAAGUAAUCAUAUGCUACAAAUAAAGACCUUUACACACAUUAUUUUUCAUUCAUAAAGUUAGUGGUUCAAGGCAAGGGUCAAACAUUAAAGUUCCAAGGCAGGAUCUUCAUCUUCCUCUUGUUCUCUCUUGGCUAUGUUUUUCUAUUGUUUUGUUAUGUUGGUUGUUACCAUGAGCAACUAAACCUAUUGAUUAGGGUUCUAAGAUGAACCCUUUCUUAUUGGUUGGAUUCAAUUGAUAAAGUUUUCAUUCAGUUAUGUUUUUCUUGUGUCCAAUUUAAAUUAGUUCUUGUCUGUUUUUAAUGCUUUUUCAAAUGAGAUCUCCGUAACAUAAUCUUAAAAAUUGACCCAUAAGAGAAAACUAGGAUUGACAACCCGAAAUUCUUUAUCCAUGUGUGUUUGUUCUAAUUACUUAUUUCAUAAUUAUGUUAAUGAAAUUCAAGUUUGAAAUAUAAUGUUUUCUACUCUCUUCUUUGGGGAAGGCCUUAGUAUAACUAGGUUAACUCAGAAUAUACGUUGUCGUAAGAUGUUUUAAUGGAGUUUUUAAAUAUUAGUUUCAAUAAAUCAUAAGUAGACCCCACACAACUGAUUGUAUUCGAAGUUAAUUCCAACAAAUACGUAGGGGGAUUCAAGGAUUCUCAUACUUGAUGUAAGUAUUUGCGAUUCCCAAGAACUCGUUUAGAGUUAUGGGCUAGUCGAGAUGUACAUAUUUUUUAAAGUUUGUUCCCUACUGCAUGCCUUUCUCGAUUAUGCACUUCUUCAUUUUCUCGUUCUCUCCUCAGACCUGAACAACUUCUUAGUUGAACCUUUUGAGGUACUCUCGAAGAGGUUUGUUUUCCCCCUACAUGAUGGCUUCAAGGGAGGUGAUCGUAUUAGGAUGGGUCCUUGAAUUUGUGAAGUGAGCUGUGAACUAGUGUCACAAGUAAUUCCAUGAGUUAAUGAAAUUCGUCCUGAGAUUUUUGUACCAAGUCAUGGCAACUCAAGGCAGUGUGGUUACAAACAUUUUACAUUUGACCGAUCCACAAAAAUUUAUGUAGUUCAAGACCGCCUCGAUGUUCUUUGUAACGCCCUAGUCGUCAUAUUUAAUUAUUUUGAUUUAUGUGGAGUCUAUAUAUAUAUAUAUGAUUUUUGGUGAUUUAUGUGGUGUGUUUAUUUUAUUAUAUAGUUUAUUUUAAUAAUAAUUAGAAUAAGUAUGAAAUAAUAAUUAUUUUGGUGUUUGGGGAAUUAAUAGAAGUUAAUAGAAAUUAUGGGGAGUUAAGUGAAAAUAAAAGGGAGUUACAAGUAAUGGGAAGUUAGGAAAAGAGAAAUUAGAAAGCUUUGUACAUAAAACUGACAAGUUGGGAGAAAAAGGAGAGAAGACCAAGUUAGAGCCAAGAGUGAUUUUGCUGCACAUUUCUUCUGCAAAUUCUAAGGUAAGGGUGAGGUUUACUUCAAUAGUGUAGUUAUUGGUUUCUGAAUUUGAAUUUAACAGAGUUAUAGUGAGAAUUGGGAUUUUGGGAUUUUAUGUUGAAUUGUUGAUUUUGGAGUUGUGAGUGUCAAUUUGAUGUUAGAAAUAGGUUCUAAGUGCAUACAGAAAGUUAAUUUGCAUCUGUAAACUGAUUUGGGGAGUGAUUGGAAGAAAAAUGGGAUUUUUGGGAAAAACCAGGUUUUUGCCCGUACAGAAGUUCAUCGCUCGCCUCGCGAGCAUUCAUGUUUCGCCUCGCGAGUGAGCAACUUCUUCGCUCGCCUCGCGAGCAGACCAACUCGCCAUGGCGAGCAAGCCUGGACAAAACUUGAUUUUUGAAAAGUUGUUAUAAGAUGUUUUGGGGAUGGUUUAAGGUACCUAGAUGAUAUUAAUGAUGACUGGAACAAGUUUUAGGUUAAAAAGAUGAAUAGGGAGCUUAGAAUUGAGGUUUGAGUGAGAAAAAAUCAUUUUUCACGAGAGCACCUAAUUUUCACUCGCCUCGAGUUCGCCUUGAACUCGCAAUGGCGAGCAAGUGGUUUUGUGAACUCGCCAUAGCGAGCAGAUGUGCUCGCGAGGCGAGCUGUGCAGUUUUGAGUGCUGUUUUGCUUGCAUGAAUGGUUGUGAUAGAAUAUUGUUGUUUAAGCAUAGUUAUAUUUAAUUGUGCAUAUUUCUGGAUGGUUGGAUCUCUACUGGAUGUUGUUACUGAUGACCGUGAUUAUGCUAAAAUUUAUUGAAUCAUACAUGUUUUUUAAGUGGAGUCACAUGGAGUUUGUAUGCAUGGUCAGUUGUAUGUAGAUAUACACAAGUAGGUCCAUUGCAUAUGCAUAAAAACAGCGGUGAGGGCUUCGGUCCUGGAGUACUAGUUGCUCAACAGCGGUGAGGGCUUCGGUCCUGAUGAAUGCUUUAACCAUUCAAAAGCGGUGAGGGCUUCGGUCCUGUCUGGUACCACAUGCAUAUUUGCAUAUUUGACGAGUCUAAGGUGUUGUCUUAGCAGUGUUGUCAUGUCAUUUGCAUGAGUCUUAGUUGUUGGUUGUGGGUGCUACAUUGAUGAUGAUGAUGUUGUUGAUGAAUGUAUAUAUUUUUACACAUAUGGUGAUUGAUGGAUUUUGAAGAUGUUUGUUGUUGCUUGUGGAUUAAAUACUUAUAUUUGCAAGAUAAUGUGUUUUGUUGUUUAGGGUGUUAGAUUCAAUUGAAGAUUUUAAUAUCUAUAUUUAUUGUUGUGAAUCUCACCUCUUCUGCUUGAAAAUGUUGCCCUUCCUAUGGGUAACUUGCAGGUGAUCCUGAGUAGUCGGUGGUGGCUCAAGAGUCGUGUCUAGGGCUCUGAUACGUGGGAUGGGAAUUAUUAUAUUAUUGUUGUUUUCCUACCUAUGUAUCAAUUUUUGGAACUUGUUGAUGUGGCCCUUUGUUGGUUGACUUAUUGUUGAUUAGGCUUAAUGCCAAGAUGUUGUUGGAGAAUUUAACCGUUGUUGUUGUUAUUGAAAUGCAAACUUUCCGCUGCAUGAUUUUGAAGUUAUUAAACAUGUUGAAUUAAAUAGUUUUAUUUUCUAUUUAAGAAUUUUUAAAAUGUAGUGUAGCAUGCCCGUAUGUGAAGUACUCUGAUGAAUAUUUGUUAUUUAAUUGUUUUUGGGUAACGGGGUGUUACAUUCUUGAUGUGCUCAUGUUGAUGAAAGGUUGCAUCAUCUGUGUCCAUCUAGGGAGACUUCUCUAGUCCCUACGGAAUCCAUGUUUCUUUGAUCCGUCGGGUGAAUGGACCAUACGACGCGCAAUCGUCAUCAAAGUAUGACGAAGACCACUAGCACCUUGUAUGCCUUGGGGAGUGGGGUUACCUUCUGCUCGGAGAACGCCUAGGAUAUCUUAUCUUUAGAGAAUGUCCGGGAGACCUUCUGCUCAGAGAAUGUCUAGGGGACUUAGAUCUUGAUGGACGGGGGUUCCCUCCCAUGCUGCUACGAUGGUGAUCUCCUCAGUGUGUCCUUGGAGCGGGUAUCCUCCAUUUCUUUGAUGUGGCAGUUAUGAUCCUUAAUCAUAUAAUUUUUGCGAUGUAGGGUUUGAAGGAUGUUGAUGAACAUGGAAUCUGCGAGAGAUGCAUUGCUUACUUCCUCGUUUGGCCACGGAGGGGCCAAUUAGAGGAGCCUCUCGAAGUGGACUCACCAUUGAUGGGAAACGAUGGUGGCACUCAUCAGUUGGUGAGGGAGUUAAUGUUUGACUGUCAUGUUGUGGACGGUGGAUCUCACUCCUGAUUUGGGAUGUUCCACCGUUGGCCAUCGUAAGAGUAGGUUCUUUUUAGGAAAUUUAUGGAUAUUUGGUCUUUUGAUUAGGAAAAGACGACACCAUUAAUUGUACCUGAUAAGAUGACAAUGUCCGAUGCAGUUUUUUGAGCUUUGGAAUGACGGGGGGUGUACCUACAGACACUCUAACGCUCAAGUCAGUUUGAGAGUUAGAAUGGUGGUAGGAGAUCGAAAUGGUAUCGUACCUUUGCCGAUUGUGUAAAGGUCUCUUAUAUAGAGGUGACAUGCAGGAGCCGCUGUAGGGCACAAUGAGGCAUCUGACGGUUACAAAUUUGUAGGAAUCGUUAUUGUCGAGCGAGAAUCGUGGGCAUGUUCUGCAUUCAGUUUGAAUGGGUCUUCCGAAGGCUCCAAACAACCACCUCGUGGAGAGAAGGUGUGUGUUAGAAGUAAUCGACACAAACACAAGAGUGGGCUUGUUUUGGUUCUGACAUGUCCAAAUAAGCCUUACACAACUACUCAGUCCAUAACAUAUUUAAUAUAAAAUGAUCAAUAAAAAAAGAUAUGCAUGCUCUAAGGAAUCAAUUCUAAAUGACGUGAAAUCUUAGCAAUGUACAUUUAGUUGAACCUAGAACAUGGAAAAUAUCAUGAAAAUUCAAGCUACCAACUUGAAGAAAUCCGUAAAACAAUAAUGUAUAGUGAUUAGCAAAGCGCAAUCACACGCAUCUCGAUUGUUCUAUCAAGUAUGAUCCAAUGCUUAAAAUAAAAAAAUAAAUAAUACUAUUUAAUAAAAAACUAGAGUUCGUAAACUAGACUGUCCAAAACCGAGAUGUAGUGAUUGUGUGCAAUCACAUAAUCGUGACUACACCUAAUCUUGAUGUAAUAAUCAUAGCUUAUUACCCCCUCACGUCCUCCUUAAUAUAAGAAGAAAACAUAUCAAAACUAAGACAAUCAUUAACUGUUGUAACUUUUUAAAUGCUUUUACAAAUAUUCUAUCAUAAAAAAGCCUUCUACGUAAGUUUUGACUUUUUUUUUUUAUUUUUUUUUUAUAAAAAAUAGAAUCAAUUUAUUUUUGAAAAAUUUCUUAUAUUAAUGACUAGAGGGAGUAAUUUUCUUUUACAAUAAAUAUUAGUUGUUACUCCAAUGCGCAACAGUUGAUCUGAUAAUAACAUAAAAAAACAUACAAGACAUGUAGUUAAAUAUGUAUAUGAAAAGAUAAAAAUAUAAUUCAUGUGUGCACAAAAAUAAUCUCGACGAAUGCCUUUUACCCUUUUGUGACUUCAGUUGAACAUUUUUAUUACUAAAACUAAAGUAUAAUAGAAUACUUUUGCGACAAGAACAUAAUAAUAUAAAUCGAUGACCUCAACACAAAAUAUUCUCAGGUUUUUUCCUAUAAAUAAUUGUUUCGAUCUUUUCAUUGUGUUAAUCAAAAUUCGAUCAAAAUAUGGGCUCUAAAUAUUCAUUAGUAUUACUUUUACUUGGAAUGAUAAUGCUUACCACCGUGGUUGGUGAAAGAAAUAGUAAUAAUUUUCGACAUUCUCCUAUGUUAGAUCCAGAAGAUGAUUGGCCAGAAAUUUUUCAUGAACAACUACCAUCCAACUAUAAAAUAUCUAAGAGGAGUCAUCAGAUUACGAGACAAACUUGUCAGAUGAAGCCAUCAACCACAUCGUUUGAGCCAGUCCACAUUGCAAAAAUUUCAUACCAUUACAAGUGAUCGAAGUGGCAAAAGUGGAUCUAGUAAAAUAAUAAGAACAAUUGUUUGUCGUAUGAAGUUUUAUUUUCUUUAUUUUUUCCUAUUCACCUUUAAGAACAACUGUCUAGUAAAAUAAUAAGAACAAUUUCCCCCUUUAUUUGAUUAAAGACUCUAUGAAGAUGUAUAUGUAUAAUAAUUACCUCUCAUUUCAGCAUAAAUCAUAUCAACUACCAAUGGUUUUAUCUAUGAUAACAAUAAUAAUGCCAAUUUGGAUUGAUAUAUACUCCAUCUAUCUCAAUUUAAUUGUCACUUUUACAAUUUUUUUUGUCUAAAUAAUUUUUUUUAGAGGUCUAUCUCAAAAUAAUUGUCACUUUAUAAUAUUAAUGUAGUAUUUAUUAUUUUUCCAGUGAUAAAUCUUUAUUUGUUGAAUUUCAACAAAUUUAACUACUACAACUAAUAAAAGUGUUUUUCCCUCAAAAAUAAUAAUUAAUAAAAGUGUUUUCAUAUAUGAUACUAAUUGUAUCAUUGAAAUCAUUUUAAUUAAUCACUUUCUUAUGAACCGCGUACAACCUAAAAACGACAAUUAAAAUGAGAUAAGUUGUAAAAAAUAAAUUUUUUUGAUUAAAUUUAUCCGACAUUUUAACUUUAAAAUUUAUUGAAUCAUCAUGAGUUAAGAUAAGGCAGGAUCAACUCAUUGACCUGGAAUAUUUGUAUGCUUAAAUUCAUCUUUUUGUAAUGAUGGAGUGCUAAAUGGUAUGGUGUAGUUUCGGAGAAGACCAUGCGAAAAAUAGUAAUGAGAACAACUAUGUUCAAACUAGAUUAUUUUGUGAUUGUGUUAUGCUUUUUAUAAGUUUAAUUGAUUCUCAGGGCAUAGUUGUUAUAAAUGUUUUAGUGAGAAAAAAUAGAACAAAACAAAAGGUUCAACCACGACCAAACUCACAAAGCGCAAUACGAGAUGUGCAUCGCAAUAUUCGAAGGAAUUGACCUAUGUCCAGUCUCAUAUCAACUCGUAUCACGCACUAUGAUUAGCACACCAUUAGGUCAUAAGGAAUUAUAAGGUGUUUGCUCUCACACAACUUGCAUCGCAACAUAAAGACCCCACAUUGAAGGCUAAUUAUUCUGAAAAAGUAGGAAAACACUCAUAUAAAUAGUGAAUGAAGGUGAGAAAAAUUCAAGAGAUUUUUCCAGCAUAAAUAAAUCCUGAUUACAACAUCAACAUUAUGACAACCUAGUCAUAGAUUUUCUUUCCUUAACCUAGAGGACUUCUUGAUCUCAAACCAAAGAUUUAAAACAAGAUAUUACAAUAGUUGCGUUUACAUAAACUUUAGGAGUAGUAAACAUAUGUAAGCACAAAAGACUUAAAAGUGUAUCUAAUGACUUUCUAUGACUCUCUAUAGACAAGCUAUACAAUCAACAUAAUAUGAAUAAAGUAUGUAUAUAAUAUAUUCUUAUGUAUGUAUGUAUAUCUACAUGUAGGUGUGUACGUGCGAAACCUUCUUUAGUCAUAGCUUGUUCCUUUAUAAAGAGAUGAAGCUUGAUGAUUGUUGCCGAAGAAUUAACCGUGUCUUUGAAUGUCUAAUUGAAUUUUGAGAUAUUUUGAUUAAAUAUAUUCGUUGAAUCAACAUUUCAUUUCCAUCAAUGAUGCUCUUAAUAAUUUUUUCUCAAUUGCAUUAGUCAGAACAUUGUUUCCUUUCUUAGCGAAGAGUCAUUGCAUGCAUCAAUGAUGUAUCCUUAAGUUAUCUUGUUAAUGCAAAGGAUCUGAGUCCAGAGGCUUGAAGCACGUAGAAUUUACUCCUAUAAAAUUUGAGCUUGAUCUUGAUACAGAGUCUUGUUUUUAUCUACAACAAAUAGAUUCACUUCAAUGUCUAGAGAGUUGACUAGUAGCCCAUAUUGUUGACUUGGUCUAGAGGCAAAACUUCAUAACACGCCCCAAUCAAACUCUCUGCCUAUCCUUUAAUAAUCCAUAUAAAGGCUUAAAAUACGACUUAAGAUCGCCUACACCUUACUCUCGCUUAGUAAACUAGAAUCACUCCACUAAUUAAGACUUACAUCGCUCAUAUGUAAUUGAAUACUACCUAAUAUACAUUCCCUGAAGUAUCCUUCACAUUAGCAUUUAUAGCUAUCUAUCUAAAACAUUAUCCACCAGAUGGUUAUCACCCCAGUUCGUAACUAACUUAAAUCACAUCCAUGAAUUUGUCAUAACUUAUUCACUGACAACUAAGCUUUCAAGGUCGAACUGAGAAUUCUCAACCCAUACUACCAUCCUUAUUGGUAAAUCCUCAAUACUGAACUCAUGUCUCAUAUUACUUCAACUUAUAUCUAGAACUAAUUUAACUCCAAGGUUGCCGUCUUAACGUUUAACUUCUUAUCCCGAAGACUAAAACUCCCCUUCCGAAAUGGCACCAGCUGUGAAACAUAUUUGAGAAGCCGGGGUGUCUCUCCCACUUGUUUUUUCCCUACACGCAACUUCCUGUUGAACUUCCACUCUCCCAUAUUAGUUGAAACGUCACAAGGCUUACAUGACAAAACAAGGGGUAAGAAAUCCUGCCAUAACAUAAUAAUAGGGAAAAACAUGCAUAUUAAAUAAAUAUCAAAAUAAUAUAAUCUCCAACAUAUCUCCACUCUCAACAAUUAUUAUGUAUAAUCUCUUCUUUUCACAUAUCACAUCAGCACAUCAUUUUCACACUGAAAAAACCCCCAAGCACAAACAUCAUCAUAUACAUGCAUAUGGACUCUCCUAUAGACCUAUAUUAAUGUGGUACCACACCUACUCAUUAUUUCACCAGAGUUAUGUUACUAGAAAUUCACUACAUAAAUUUCUAGAGGUAUAUGUUACUGGACUUUCAUUGCAUAAUAUGUCAGAUGUAUAUAAUACUGGACUUUCACUGCAUAACAAUGCAAGACAUCAUGCUCUAGACUCUACAUGGAAUCAUAGAAUUAAAAUCAACAAGUAUUACAAGUAUACACUUAACACCUAAUCCACAUAGUAAUGCAAGAUUCAUCCUACGAUGCACAACUCUAAUGCAAGCACACAAAACAUCAUCUCCACUCUCAUCAUCAUCAUCAUCAUCAUCAUCAUCAUCAUCAUUAUCAUCAUAGAUAAACAUCAUCACUCUCACUAUCGGCAUAACUUAACCAUUAACGCUCUCAUCAUGACAAAAACAUAGACAUCAUCAUUGUCAUUGUUAUUAUAAUAUAACAUCAUCAUUUGCCAUCAUGGUAAUUUCUUUACAUAUAUAUAAUAUGAAUCGUCAUCACUCUUUGUCAUAGUUGUAGGACUCCUCUUCAUUAUUCUCUAUCAUAUGUUUAUAUCACAACCUUAUCUCUUCAUUAAUCAACACCUUACGCGUGACUCAUUUGACGUCAACAUCCCUUUAUUCUAUUUUAUUAUUCAUCUUACAGACGUACUAUAUUCUCUCAUCUAUUCUAGGCCCUAUAUAUACUUUAUUCUGAUAUCAUACCCUAUUCAUCAUUCUUAGCCUUAAGAUAUUUAUUUGUUCAUUAUCAUUAUAUACAAAGUCUCCUGUCUUUACAACUAGGUCCUACCUCACCAUCGUCAUUAACUCCUUCAUACUGAUUCUUCUCAAUAAAAAUAAUUUAUAUCUUAUUAAUUUGUUCUCAUAUUCAUAUUCAUAUAUGCAUCGUCCAUUCCCCUAAUCUUAACUUCAUUCUAAUUUAGAGUUAUUAUCUCACCCUAUCAUUAAUUUCGACUUCAACAACUUUCCUCACUACGACUCCAUUCUAAUUAAAGGUUUUAUUCUCUCGAUACUGGUCAUUAUUAUCAUCGUCUAACCUUAUAACUAAUAUUUCUUAUCUUCUUUCCUACUAAUUUUUCUCUCUUUUAAUAGAUUCACAUCUUAUUCUUUCCCUAUCAAUAUUCCUAUUAACUUAUGUUACUAAAUCUAAAGAAAAAAUCAUUGAUCGAUGUUUAAGGUGGAGGGAAGGGCAUGUAAAGAAGGAUGAAGUGGUUGAUGAAAGUGUGCAAAAAUUAUAUGAAGAAUGUGAAAGAAUUAUUUCUAUUUUGAUUCUGAAAAUUUAUUGUUACUUCAAAUAAAACUUGUGUAUUUUUUUUACAACCGUCUUAUUUUUUCCGUACUACCAUAUAUUAUUUCAGGUGACUCUAUCUCAAUCUUUUCAAACUUCUAGCUGUAGGGACAUACUUAGUAAAACAUUAAAUGUCCGUGAGUAUCCUAAAACAGUUCUUAAUGAAAGUCAAAAGAAGAGUGAAAAAAAUCCAAGUUCUAAAGAAUUAAUGGCCAAUAUUUAAAAGUUAGAAUCUGAAGUUCAUCAAUUGAAAAAGGAAAAGGGAAAAGAUAUGUCAGGAAGUCAACAUGAUAUGCGUAUCCUUAGUUACAAAGAUAGUUCCAACAUUUAUUUAUAUAAGAACAUUCCCGAGGUAUUUAAUUACUUGUAUAUAUUUCAUUUAGUAAUUUGCUAAUUAUAUUUGUUAUUAACUUUUUGUUGAUUAUUGGUUUAGGGUAUAUCACCUCUUUCAAUGUACCUGUUGUCUCCUACUUAUCGCAUAAUCUCUAAGGGAAGGGUAAACACUAUCUUGGGAGAUAAACUUCACUAUAAGUCACUCCUUGUUGGCUAUUUGAAAGUAUUAAUUAAUAUUGCUUUAGAACAGGAAGCAGGGUUGUCCAUACCUAAUGAUGUUGCUGAUAUAAGCUUGGUUGGAGAUGCAAUAGAAUCAUAUGUGGCAUGGCCAAGAAACCUCAUUUCCCUAAAUCUUGAGGUAAAGUAAAAUAAAUAAAUUAUUCUCUAUGAAAAAAUUGGAGUUUUUUUUUUUGUUUUUUUUGUUUUACUUUGUUUAUGUGUGGUUUUUGGUAUAAAUGUUUAGUUUAUUAUUUUAUCACUAACUCAAUCAGUUACACAUAGAUUCCUGCAACAUACAAAGACAAUGGUAAUGUCGAGAUUAGGAAGGGUGAUGAGUCGGUCACAUAAAAAAAAAACCUAGGUAUAUUGAUACACAAGAAAUGUUCAUUUUACUAUUCAAUCAUUUAUUAAUCAUUAGCUAAUUUAACUAUACAAUAAAUUAGAUUCAAACACAUAAAUUGCGUGAAGGCAGUAAAAUCAUGAAGGAUAAACCAAGAAAUAUGGCAGCUCAAACACAAAAAUUGAAAGAAAACACUAAUUGUAAGAAGGUUUGACAUAGCUAUAUUCAAAUCAUAAAACAAAAACAAGAUAUUGAAAAAACCAAACAUCAAAAGCCUUCCUCUAUAAAGUGUCAUUCAUCAUGUGUGUUAGUUCUAAAAUCCCUUGUAGAAAUGCAAAUGGAAAACACAGAUACGCGUCAGAUAACUAUGGAUGAAGGUAUUUUUGGUGAACAAUAUGAACAAGACAUUAUCAAAGAGCAACUGAAUGAGUUUUUUGAAAAUACAGAAAUAAGUGUCUCUGUUGUCUGUGUAUAUAUCAGGUACUCCGAAUAGCUUUAAAUUGACCUACAAAUUAUUUUAUUUGUAUGAAUGAAAUAUUUAAUAGUAUCUAAUAUUAUAUUUUCAUUCUAGGUACUUGUAUGAAAAAUUUGUGCACGACAGUGAUUUCACAAGGAAAUUCUCCUUCUUGUCCGCCAUCGCAUAUCCUUGAUGUUAAUUGAAGCAGAACAAGAAUUGGUCAAAGAAUACAUGGUUAAGGAAUUCAUGAAAUAUAAAGAUGAGCACAAGUUAUUUAUUCUACCGUUUUAUAUACAUAUGUCUGGAUAAGAUUUUCCUUGAAACUUUGUUUUUGAUUAUUUUUUUCUCACUUUUUAUCACCGUUUAUAGAAGAUUUUCUAACUUGAACAUUUGUGUAGUGGACAUUGGGUGUUAUUUGUCAUUGAUCUCAUAUCGGAAAUCAUAUAUUAUCUGAAUCCAUUACUCAAUGACUAUAUGAAUUACCCAAAAAUGACGACUAUGUUUCACACGUAAGUGUGUGUGUGGUAUAUAUAUAUUUUUAUCUUGCAUAUUUAUUUUUUCGCAGACUUUAGAAUGUAUAUAUAGGCUAAAUGUAAAUCAUUCAUGUGUGCGUGUGUGGGUGUAUGCUUUAUUUUUAUGCUUCAUAGUUUAGUUGUAAAUAUAAUUCAAUGUGAAUAACCGAAAACCACAAAAAAACAUUUUUUUUUACAAUAAACCUUAAUUCAAAAAUCAAGUGAUCCUUUUUUUAUUUUUUCUUAAUCAAAUGUUUAAUCAAUUUAAUCUUUACCAUGAGUCCAUUUUCUUUAAUAUUAAAAAACACAAACAAAUACUCAUUUGCAACUUUGGCUUUUCUUUCAUUCUAAAACCUUUUUCAAAACUAAUAAAAAACACAAAACAAAUCAAAAGUCAAUUUUUACCCGAAACUACGAGGUUUUGAUCCCUCAUGGGUACGUAGGCAAAGGACCAUGUCCUUCCAAAUCAUAAAUAAUGUAGAUAAAUUAGGUCUCUAUUUUAAUCACUUUAAAUUCUUUUUUUCAAAAGUAAGCAAGUUUAUAGCACGAAAAAUAAAUAAAAUCAAGAGGUUCUCGUAGAGUACUACGAACAUAAAGGGUGCUAAUACCUUCCCUUUAUGUAACCAACCCCCGAACCCAAAAUCUUUUCAACGUGGGGUGGUUUGAACUUUUUUCCCCUUUUCUAAAAAAUUAAAUGUUCAGUCGUGAAAUAAAAAGUGAGUCAAACACUAAUAUAAUAGCCCUGAUCUCCAAAAAAUGACGCGACAAGUAACAUGGUUAUAUUUUAUGUUAUAAUAUAUGGAGUACAUUGACGGUUUCAAAUGUUUGACAUAUUCUAAAGAUAAAUUAAUAGAAAUCCAAGAAAAAUGGUGUUAGUUCAUGAUCAGUCUAAGAGUUAUAUGUUAUUUUUUUGAUAAGGCGAGCUUCAUGUUUCUAAAUAUAUUUGCUAGAAGUGGUAGUGCCUUUAAUCUACAUUAUAAUCUUGCAUUAAUUUGUUAUGAAUAGUGCUGGAAUAAAGAUAGAUAUAUAUAUAUAUAUAUAUAUAUAUAUAUAUAUAUAUAUAUAUAUAUAUAUAUAUAAAGAAGAAUAAGAUGUGUGAGUUGAUAUAUAUUAAGAUGAGUAUUAGCCAUUGAUCCAAGUGUUUGGUUUGCUAUUUGAAAAAUGAAAUAGUAUUUGGUUGUUUCACUUGUUUUGUUUUCUUUAUUUGUUAAGUGAAUAAAUGUUUGGACUACGUAUUCUCGGCAUUUGUACAUGAGUACUUAUUGCUUAAAAUAGUGUUGAUGCUUAUUGCUUAAUGUGUUUUCUGCUAUAUAUGUAGGUGGAGGAGAGUUAACGAAAUUUGGAAAUGAAUAAUGAUCUACCUGCUUGUUAUGGAUAAAAAUGUUGAGACGACCAAGAAGAUAGAUGAAGACUGCAUGCUACCACAAAAGAUUUUGGUCUUUAUGUUAAUUAAUUAGUUGUAACUUAGAGAUAUCCAUGAUUUGUAGCUUCGUUUGUUAGUGGCUACAUUUCAGAUUUUUAUGCUAUAUAUACAUACAUUUUAUGAUAUGUUUAAGUUUUAUUUCACAAAUAAUAGUCUCAAUUAUAAUGUGUCAUAUUUCUCUUAGAUAAAUUAUAUAUAUAUAUAUAUAUAUAUAUAUAUAUAUAUAUUAAUUUAAAUUAAUAAAAACUCUAUUUGUAAAAAUAAAAUAUUAAAAUGCUUUUUCUAACGCUUAUUUAAAUAAAACGUUGUUUAAUCUACACAUUAUAGCAAUGCUUAAUGGAAUAAAGCGCUAUCUAAACCUAUUGUUACAAAGCUGUUUUUAGUAGCACAUAAAGAUAGAAGCGUUAUUUUAAACCUCCUUUAGAUGGCUUGUAUUUCUGUAAAUGCUAUCCAAGGACACCCUUUGAUAGCUAUUUUUAACAAAAAGAGCUAUAUAAACCCUGCUUUAGACAACACUUUAUAAAAAAAACAAGCACUAUAUUACAUUUACCAGCGCCAUUUACCAUAGCGCUUUUAAAGUGCUACAAAUGGUCCGAAAAAUCGCUAUCUAUGACCAUUUUUGGCAUAAUGUCUCCUCUCAUAUUAAUCCUCAUAUUACAUCAUUACUUUUCAAAACUCUAUUUCUUUUAGAAUAAUAUAAUAUUAAAUAAAAGUGCAUCAUCAUAAUCCUAAAUAAGACUCAACCUAUUUUAAUAUUAUUAAAUUAAUUGAUUAAAAAUUUGGGGUNAAUAAUAUAAUAUUAAAUAAAAGUGCAUCAUCAUAAUCCUAAAUAAGACUCAACCUAUUUUAAUAUUAUUAAAUUAAUUGAUUAAAAAUUUGGGGUAUGUACAUGUUCAUCUAGGGAGUCUUCUACAGUGCCUACCAAAUCCAUGUUUCUCUAAUCCGUCGGGUGAAUGGACCAUACGACGCACGAUCGUCAUCAAAAUAUGACAAAAACAAUUAGCGUCUUAUAUGCCUUAGGGAGUGGGGUUACCUUCUACUCGGAGAACUCCUAGGAGAUCUUAUUUUUGGAGAAUGUCUAGGAGAACUUAUGUUCAGAGAAUGUCAAGGGGACCUGGAUCUUGAUGGAAGGGUAUUCCUUCCCAUGCUGCUAAGAUGUGGGGAAGGAGGUCGAAAAAUUGAACGAGGAUAUGGUGAUCUCCUCAGUAAUCCUUGGAGUGGGGAUCCUUCAUUUAUUUGAUUUGUCGGUUCUGAUCCUUAAUCAUAUAAUUUUUGCGGUGUAGGGUUUGAAGGAUGUUGUUGAACAUGACAUCUACGGGAGAUGUGUUGCUUGCUUCCUUGUUUGGCCACGAGGGGACAAUUAGUGGAGCCUCUCGAAGGGAACUCGCCAUUGAUGGGACACGAUGGUGCACUCGUCAGUUGGUGAGGGAGUUAAUGUUUGACCGUCACGUUGUGGACGGUGGAUCUCACUCUUGGGAUGCUGCAACGUUGGCCAUCGUAAGAGUAGGUUCCUUUUAGGAAAUUUAUGAAGAUUUGGUCUUUUAAGUAGGAAAAUACGAUACCACUAAUUGUACCUUAUAAGAUGAUGACGUAUGAUGCAGUAGUCUUUGGCUGUUUGUGAGAUUUAAAACGACCAGGGGGGUGUACAUGCAAACACUCUUACGCUCAAGUAAGUUUAAGAUGGUUAGAGAUAGAAAUGGUAUCAUACCUUUGGGGAUUGUGUAAAGUCAUCUUCUAUAAAGGUGACGGGCAUGAGUCGUUGUAAGGCACAAUGAGGCAUCUGACGGUUACAAAUUUCCAGGAAUCGUUAUCGUCGAGCGAGAAUCGUGGGCAUGUUCUACAUUCAGUUUGAAUGUGUCUUACACCCUCCUCGCAGAGAGAGGGUGUGUGUCGGAAGUAAUCGACCAAAAUGCAAGAUUGGGCCUGUUUUGGUUAGGGCAUGUACAAAUAAGCAUUACACAACUGCUCAGUCCGGAACAUAUUUAAUAUAAAAAGAUCAAUAAAAAAUGAGGCAUGCUCUAAGGAAUCAAUUCUAAAUGACGUGAAAUCUUAGCAAUGUACAUUUAGUUGAACCUAAAUACAUGAAAACUAUCAUGCAAAUUCAAGCUUCGAACUUGAAGAAAUCCAUAAAAGAAUAAUGUAUUGUGAUUAGCAAAGCACAAUCACACACAUCUCGAUUGUUCGAUUAAGGAUGAUCCAAUUCUUAAAAAAAUUAUUAUUUAAUAUAAAACUAGAGUUCGUAAAGUAGACUGUCCAAAAUCAAGAUGUAGUGAUUGUGUGCAAUCAUAUAAUCGUGACUACACCUAAUCUUGAUGUAACAAUCAUAGCUUAUUACCCCAUCGCUUCCUUAAUAUAAGAAGAAAACCCAAAAAAUUUCAAAACUAAGGCAAUCAUUAAUUGUUGUAACUUUUUAAAUAUUUUUACAAAUAUACUAUUAUAAAAAAUCUUUUACGUAAUAAAUACACCAUAAAAGUUAUGACUUUUUUUAUAAAUAGAAUCAAUUUUUUUUUUUGAAAAAUUUCUUACUAGAGAGAGUAAUUUUGUUUAACAAUAAAGGUUAGUUGUUACUCAAAUGUGCACAAGUUGAUCCGAUAAUAACGUAAAAACAACUUACAAGACAUGAAGUCAAAUAUGUAUUUAAAAAGAUAAAAAUAUAAUUAACGUGUGCACAAAAAUAAUCUUGACGAAUGCCUUUUACCCUUUUGUGAUUUCAGUUGGACAUUUUUAUUACUAAAGUAUAAUAGAAUAUUUUUUUUGACAAAAACAUAAUAAUAUAAAUUGAUGACCCUGUUCAAAAAAAAUAUAAAUUGAUGACCUCAACGCAAAAUAUUCUUAGGUGUUUUUCUAUAAAUAGUUGUUUCACUCUUUCCAGUGUGUCAAUCAAAAUUUGAUCAAAAUAUGAGCUCUAAAUAUUCAUUAGUAUUACUUUUACUUGGAAUGAUAAUGCUCACCACUGUGAUUGGUGAAAGGAAUGAUAAUAAAUUUGAAUAUGAUCCUAUGUUAGAUCCAGAAGAUGAUUGGCCAGAGAUUUUUAAUGAACCGCUACCAUCCUACUAUAAAAUACCUAAAGAGGAGUCACCUGAUUAUGAGACAAACUUGUCAAAUGAAGCCAUCAACCACACCGUUUGAGCCAGUCCACAUUGCAAAAAUUCCUUACCAUUACAAGUGAUCGAAGUGGCAAAAGUGGGUCUAGUAAAAUAAUAAGAAAAAUUGUUUGUCAUAUGAAGUUUUCUUUUCUUUAUUUUUUUUUCUUCCUAUUUACCUCAAAAAUUCUAUUUUUCAAGUAGUGAAGUACAAUUUGCCCCUUUAUUUGAUUAAAGGCUCAAUAAACAUGUAUAUGUAUAAUAAUUACCUCUCAUUUUAGCAUAAAUAAUGUCAACUACUAAAAGUAUUAUCUAUGAUUACCACAAUAAUGCCAAUUUGGCUUGAUAUAUACUCCAUCUAUUUUUCCUCAGAAAAUAUACUCAAUCUAUUUCCAAUUUUAUUGUCAUUUUUAUAAUUUUUCUUUGUCUCAAUAUUUUUUUUAGAUUUUUCUUAAAAUAAUUGUCACUUUAUAAUAUCUAUGUCAUUUCCGGUUUUCGCCCCUAUAAAAUUUUCGGUUUGAUUUGCACUUUUGUAAAUUUUUUAUUUUCCGGAAAACACCCUUAAUAGGCCAUUCAAAAAUCAAAAUUUUUUGCAAAAAAAAUUCUGAAAAUGGCAUAUUAGGGUGUUUUCUGGAAAAUAAAAUUUUUACGAGGGUGCAAAUCAAACCGAAAAUUUUAUAGAGGUGAAAACCAAAAAUGACAUAUAUUACAGGGGUGAAAAACACUAUUAACCCUUAUUUUUUUCAUUGAUAAAUCUUUAUUUUUUGAAUUUCACCAAACUUAACUACUACAAUUAUUAAAAGUGUUUUGAUAUAUGAUACUACUUUUAUCAUUGAGAGCAAUGAGACAACCUAAAAACAACAAUUAAAAUGAGACAAAUGAUAAAAAUUAAAAUUUAUUGAUUAAACUUAUCCGACAUUCUGACUUUAAAAUUUAUUGAACCAUCACGAGUUUACAUAAGGUUGGAUCAACUCAAUGACCUGAACUUGAUCUGUUCGGUGAGAACGGUUGAGUCGCAACGGUUGUGAAGAAUGGUCCCAUGAUCGGUAACGACUUCCAGUGCGGUGGCGUAGCAUCUUAUGUGAUGGAACGAAAGGUGCCUGCAGACACGUUUGAAUUCCGACAAUCAAGUCAGUAAUGGAACUGAGAGAAAAGUUUUAGAAGUGUAGUGAAAAGUGUUGUGUACCUUGAGGGUAAAGCAAGUACACCCUUAUAUAGGCCCGCUCUUGGCAUGACCGUCUCCGGGUUAUGCGGCAUAUGAUUAAGAGCGGGAGUGGACAUGUGUAGCGUGAUCCCGACAGGGAAGCAUGGUCCAAUGUGGCAUGCCGCAGGCGAAUUGGCGUGCUCCUUUGAGUGCGAAGCCUUGAGACUGCGUAAUAUUGCACAUUUGUUGCCGUGUGAGUGGUCUAGAACUGAGCUAUUUUAUUUUUAAAUUCAUCUUUUUUUCAUGAUAGAGGGCUAAGUGAUUUGGUGUAGUUUCGGAGAAGAUCAUAUCUAUACUAUAUAUAAAGAAAACUACCUCUUUCAGCUCUUUUGGGUUGGAUUUUCUUUCCAAAAAUUCCCUCAAUUUUCAAUACAAAUAACACAUGUAACAAAUAGAUCAAAAUAAAUUUAAAUAUUAAAAUAAAAGUGUAACAAACAUAAAUGUUCAAUUUUUUACUUUAUCAUUUAAAAAGUGUAACAAACUAGAUGAGUGUAUCCAUACUUAUUUUUUCAUUAUCCCAAUUACAUUCCCUUAAACAACAACUUUUUCUAUUCUCUAAAAAAACAACUUUUUCUAUAAUAAAGAUUGUUGUUGGUUUCAUUAAAUAAAUACUCCAUCCGUUCCUUUUUAAGUGUCACUUUUGCAGAAAUUUUUUGUUCCUAUUUAACUGGCACUUUCAAAGUUCAAUGCAACAUUAAAUGUUGUUUUACCAAUAUUAUCCUUAGUUAUUUAUUGCGGAGAGAGAAAUAUAUGAAAUGAGAUAUUAAAUGAAUAAGAUCAUUAUAGUAAAAGUAUAGCUUAUUGCAUUAAAAGGAAUAUCAAUUGUUGAUUGUCUUGAUUUCGUAACUCGCGAAGCGUAUUACGAAAUGUGCAUCACAGGAUCCUGAGGAAUUGACCUAUGUUCAGUCUCGUAUUAACCCCCGUCACGCACUAUGAUAUCAUCCUUUAACGAUAUCAUCAACAUAUAUAUUAUAUCAUCAACAUAUAUAUGAACAAUUAAAAUUUCAUCCUUUAAUAAUUUUCAAAAGAGUGUGAUGUCAACUUGAUCUUGUGAAAACCGUUUUCUAAAAUAAUGUUACUAGGGUCUUUCAUACCAAGCUAUGGCAGCUUGUUCCAGAUUAUACAAUGAAAUCUUCAAACUCAGGAAGUUGUUUCAUACACUUCUUCAGAAAUGAUACCUAUAAAAUACGAACUUAUAAAAUCCACUUGAUAUAGAAUGAUAUCAUUAUUUACAACACAUGAUAAUAAUAGACUAAUUGCUUAUAAUUUUGCUACAUGUGCAAAUGUUUCAGCGAAAUCUAUCUCUUCUUGCUGACUAUUUCCUUGUACUACUAGUCUAGCUUUAAUUUUUACUAUAUCAUUUUGUUUAUUGAGCUUGUUUCUGAAAACCCACUUUAUGACAAUGACAUUAUUACCUUUUGAUCUUGGAACUAUUUCUCAAACAUCAUUUCACUUUGAUAAUUGUGCCCUACAAAAUUCCACUAGUCUUUUUAUGACUUCCGAUCAUAACAAGUAGUAUUUACUAUUUUUACAGAGGCUUUUGUGUCAGUUAUUUAGUUUGCUUGAUGCUUGUUUAAGAGUUAUUUUGAAUAAAUGGUUCUUAUGUUACAUAAGGUUUUUAAAAUUUUAUCUUCUUAAUUAACCUUAUAUUUUACCGUAUCCUCAUUGUGUUUAUUAGGUUUAGAGCUAAAAUAAUUUUUGUUUAAAAAAUAACAUGAACUCUAUGUGAUAUUUUAUUUUUUAAUGAUAUCUUGAGCUGUAGGUAACCAAAUGGAGUCAAACUAUUUCCGAAUGAAAUCUAACAUUAAUUGAUACAAGUUUUCAUAAAUAUACUAAAGUCGAAUUCGGCUUGUAAAAUGGUAAAAAAUGUAAAGGAUCUGAAUACAAAAAAGGAAACAAAGAAGAAGUGGAGAUUCAAUCCCCUCAUGUGUAAUUUUAUAUUUUCCUUUCUAAGUCUGAGUAGCUAACUUUUCUUCAGAUUGAAACUCUUGAUUAGUGAUGUCAAUUUUCUAGCAAGGGUUAGUUCGUUGGCAAGUAGUCAAAUAUAUAAAUUUCUUAACCUAAAGGUUUGCAAUACUUCAACUUGACUGCUACGAUUAUGAUUAAGAUAUGUAAGAGAUAUUAUGAUUAAGAUAUGUAGUUUGGGGGGGGGGGAUUAAAAGGCGACGAGGUCAUAUCAUAUUCCCUUGAUUGAUUGCUCAAUUUUAAGACAUCUGAUCGAAUUAGUCAGGCCAGUGUCUUGGUAACUAACACUCUUCAAUAGUUAUGACUCCCUAAUGUCUUAGGUUAGUCUAUAACCAUUGAAGGAUUAGUAAUGCCAAAUUAAGUACAUAAAUCAUUAUUAGAAAAUUUCUAAAGCUAAUAACAACUGAAUGAUUAAAUUAGGUCAAGCCAUUAACGUUAGGGUUAGUAACCACCAAGACCUAAAUCAAUUUAUAAACAUUUAUAAAUGCAUAAAAAAACAUUAAGGAUAAACUCAACCAAUAAAAUAACAAAGUAGACAACUGAAGUCAUAUGAUAAUGUAAAGUUACAAAAUCAAACGAUUACAGAGAAGUUCCUCUUUUAUGACCUAACCCCGAUAGAAUUAGUUACUCGUUAUUUCUAAACAUAAACUACUGCAUAUGAAUAAGAAAACAUGAGAAAAGGAUCACCAGUUGAUGAAUCCAUGGCUCUCAAAUGGAUCUGAUCGCUCCGAUAAUAUGCUAAAAUCGUGUUUCUGCCUUCAUAUUCUCAUCAAAAAGUGUUUUUUCACUGACCAAGGUGUUUGCCUUAUAUAGGUGCGUAUUUUCCUUAAAAUUAGUGAAAGUUGGCCCGCGAUGUUAGCAUAUAAAUUGCGAUGUUAGUUAAACAUAGAGUGAACACCUUGCAUGUCAUUCAUAUCUCACGAUGUGGAGGUUAUAGCCUGCAAUACGAGAUAGAUAGUGGCUGAAUCUUACAAAUUCCAUUUUGAUUCUACAAAUGACUUAAAACUUCUAUAUAAUUUCAUAUCAUCAAUGAUCCUCUUAGAAUCUAAUUGAGUUAUUUUAUUUAUGAGUUCUAGUUUAUGCAAUUGAUACCCAUGUACAUUCAAUAAUUCUUGUUAUUUAAUUGUGAUCUUACCAAUAUUGAAUUGAACCUAAGGUAUUUAAUUAUGGAUAAUUGGUUGUUUUGGUUGUUUGUAUGACUCUAUGUUUGUAAAGUAGUUCUUUUGGCACACCUUAUGCUAGAGGAGUUGCUUUUGGUGGUUAAUAUAUAUUCCAUUUUUGAUUGUUAAAAAAAAGUUAUUGUUCGCUAAGUAAUUGUCUUAGAGAUAUCAUAUCAUUUAGCUGUGACAAAAUUUAGUUGCCGAUCAUGCUUUUGAUGUUAGAUACGCGAGACCUGGCUUGAGUAAAAAAAAUUGGUUUUGCUAUAUUUUGCUAAAUUGUCGGAAACAUAAUCAAUUGUUACGGCUAGUACCACUAUUACCAAAUAGUAACAAAGAGGGGUUAUUGCCAUCAGUUGUUUCAUUUAAUUUACCUAAUUAAGUGGAACAUAAUUGCCAUGGUUUAGAACUGGGGUUAUUGCUUUAGGUUUUUCAAACGGUUUUUAAAGUCUCCUUAUUGGAGAUGCUUUCUCUAAGGUACAUUAGUUCGGCAUAAAACAUGAUGAAAUUCAUAAAACAUUAACGGAUAAGAUUAGUGUUGUGUAAUCAUUGAGACGAUCCAGAUUUUAAAACCUUACCUUUUAAUCCAAAAUUAGAUUUUAGAUAUGGAUCGUCCGAAACCGAGAUGUUAUAAUUGCGUGCAAUCAUAAGAUCAUGACAACACCUAACCCUAAUCUAAUAAACACCAAGAAUGAUAUAUAUAUAUAUAUAUAUAUAUAUAUAUAUAUAUAUAUAAUACCGUUUUUGCUUAUAAAUAGGAACCAAGGGAUAAGAUAUGGAUUUUUUUUUUUUUUGAGGGAGGAUAAGAUAUAGAGUUAAACAUGUAUAAAAUGGUAGAAAUGUGCACAAAAAUAAUCGCAACAAAUGCACACUACCCUUUUGUGACCUCAUUUGGACCAUUUUUAUUACUAAAGUAUAAAAUAUGAUAAAUAAUUUAAGUUGACGUGCUCAACAUUAAAUAUUCUCAAGGGUUUUCUUAUAAAUAGUUGUCUCACCCUUUCCAUUUGUGUGAAUUAAAAUCUAUAAAAACAUGGCCUCUAAAUACUCACAAGUAUUAUUACUUCUACUUGGAAUGAUGGUUCUUACUACUGUAGUGAGUUAUGGGCAUAAUAAAUUUGGGUAUGCGCCAAUGUUAGAUCUAGAGGAGGAUUGGCCAGACCAAUUCUUUCCACCACUUACCAUAAUUGAGGGUCGAAAGUCGCAUAGUUUUGGAUAUCCACCUAUAUUAGAUCCAGAAGAAGAUUGACCUAAUAACUAAUGAGAAAUCAUUUGUUUAUAAGCCAGUCCACAUUUCAAAGCUGUUGUAAGUACAAUUCUUUAUCAAAUGAGUGUUUUUUUCUUCCCACUUUUGUAUAAAACUCUAAUUUUUAAGAAGUGAUGUACUAUUUGAAUAAAGGCUCUAUAAAUAUUUCUAUGUAUAUUAUAUCUCAUUUCAGCAACAAUAAUGCCUAUUACUAGUGGUUUUACCUAUGAUUAAUAUUUUGUUAUUGUCUACAAUUUAAUUAUUCAUUAUGUGAUAACUAAUCAAUAAUAUUUUUUUUGUCAAAAAAUAAUCAAUAAUAUUUGAACAUUCAUCAUUUCAAUACACUCAUUCAACAAAAUAUUUUCUUUUUGUCUAUAUUUUACAAUCACAUCAUCGAUAUAUCACCAAAAUAUUAUAUUUAACUUAUCACAAUAUUUUUUUUUUCAAGAUAUCCUAGUAAGAACGGAUAUAUCCAAAAACAUUUUUUAUAUUAAAAACCCAAAGAAAAAGAUCAAUUAGAUAACAGCUGUACGUCACAUGUUCUAGAACUAUAAACAUAAAAAUAUUCAAAUUAGUUAUGUGUAUCUAGAACAAAAGAUCCAUCUCCUUUUCUUAGACCAUCGAUAAGAUAAUCCUACCGUGGAGUAGAAAAUUUGAGAUUAAAUUGUAACAUCCUGAUUUUUAAUAUUAACCUGUUAAUAUAAUUAUUGGAUAAUAUUAGUAUUAUUGUCAUUAUUAGUAUUGAUUGCUCGAUAUUAUGAAAUUAAAUUAUUCGUGAUUAUAGGUGAUGUUAUGAAUAAUGAGGAAGUAGAGGAGUUAACUAGUUGGUUAAAGAAUGAGAGAAAAUAAUUUUUUUGGAAGAAAAUAGUGUUUUUGGUAAGAAUAAGGAAGUAGAAUGCAAACAGAGAUGCAUUAGUAAAAUUGGAUAGAAAAGAGGUGGAAGUAGCAAAGUGAUGGACAAAAUUGGCAAGUACACCAAAUUAUAACAAGUAGUAAGUUGUAUCGUUCUUCACAAAGAUUGUCGUUCAACUCAAUAUAUAAUUUGCAAAACUUAUUUUAACACGGAAAAUAGUAAUGAUGGUUAGAAUUGCAGGGUUUAAUUGCCCGACCCAAUGCAAGAUUAGGUUUGUGUGAUUCAGAUGUGUAAUAGUGAUUAGGGAAUCCGUGAAUCCCAUCUUCCUUCUUUGUUGGAUCAAUUCAAAGUCCUUAUUAAUUAAGACCUAAAAACUACAUAAACAAAGAACAAUAAUGAACAAAGUACUCCCAUGAACAAUUAUGAAUAAAUAAGAAAUAAGUACUCCCAUGAACGAAUAAUUUCAGGUUGUCAAUCAUACUAAUCUUCUAUGAAUCAAUUUUUAGGAUUACCUAUACAUAUUUUCAAUUGAAAAAUAAUUACGAACAGACUAGUACAAAUUAAAUCGGACACCAGAAUAUAACUGAAUGAAAACUUUAUUAGUUGAAUCUAACAAAUAAGAAGGGGUUCAUAGUUGAACCCUAAUCAAGAGGUUUAUUUGCUCAUGGAAACAUACAUCAUAACAAAACAAAAUAAAAACAUACCCUAGGAAGAGUACAAGGAGGAGAAAUUCCUCCUUGAAUCUAUGAUGCUUGACCCUUGCUCUAAACCGUCAAUGUUUCUGAAUGAAUAAAAUAGUGUGCAAGGAUCUCUAUUUAUAACGUAAGGUUGCUUAGGAUUUAAUUCGAGAAAACUAGGAUUUUCUACCGAUCCAUGUAUGCCUGGGUCUUCUGGGUUUAUUUCUGAAGGAAUUUCCCUUCUUUAGUCCCAUGCACUUUGGGUUUUGUUGCUCAGAUUUGUUCAAGACCUUUGGAUUGGAGGAUAAUCUUGAAUACUCUUUGAACUAAAAUUUGAGUCCCGGCUGGCCAUGAAUCUGAAAGUCCUUUGUUUUGACUUAGUCAACACCUUGGAUCUUGACUCUCUUGUCUCUGAUGGGUUUCGAUUCUCUGCUUUUUCAGCAUUUGGAUUUGAGUAAAAGAGCAGACCCUUUUGAGUGCAAACAGAACAUGAUAAUUGUUUUGUCUUGACAAGAGUAUGUGUAUCCCUAACAGACGCACUUGUGAAGUCAAUUUCUCUCCCUUUUUUCUUACUAAUAUUGUGAGGGGUUAAUAGAUCUUUACCCCCCUGUAAUAUAUGUCAUUUCCGGGUUUCCCCCCUGUAAAAUUAUUUUUUUGAUUUACCCCCUUGUAAUUUUUUUUUGUUUUGAUUUACCCCCCUAAUAGGCCAAACAAAAACGAAAAUUUCUUGAAAAAAAAUAAAAUUAGUUUUUGUUUGGCCUAUUAGGGGGGUAAAACAAAACAAAAAAAAAAUUGCAGGGGGGUAAAUCAAAAAAAUAAUUUUACAGGGUGGAAAACCGGAAAUGACCUAUAUUACAGGGGGGUAAAAACCUAUUAACCCUAUUGUGAGAUAUGGAAGCUAAUCUACUUCUGUCAAAAUCAUAAUCACUAGAUUCUUCAGAUGAACUAUUGAAUUUAGUUGAAAGUAUGUCGAUUUCAUCUGGGGUUAAAAGUUGCCUUAGCAUGAGAUUUUGUCUUGAUAGAUAGUGAUUUUGGCGUCUCAAAGGUUUUAACUCUUCUGAUAAAAAAUUAAAUUGUUUUUGCAAGUCCUUUAAGGAUCUUGAUUUGUUCAGAUAGAGUCUUAGAAGCCUUCUGACAUAAGGAAUAUACCCAUUACAGAUUUGUUCAAAGAUUACCUCAUCAUCCUUAUCUGAAUAUGAGCUUGGUUCUUCACCAGAAGAUGUUUUAACUACUAAACCCAUAUUAGCUUCCUCUUUGUUGUCCUCAGAGUCUGUAUCUUCAUCAAGCAUCUUCCAGGUUUCCAUGAAGAUUUCCUUGAGCUUUCACUUGUAGGUUUCCCUAUGCUGAUUUUCCCUAAUGCGCCUCAGGGAAAUCAGCUAUGAAGUGACCAUUCUUUCCACAGUUGAAGCAUCCUUUUUUAUUAUCUCUUUUGUCUGUGAAGUGGGAUGUCUUUAAGUCACUGCUUCUGCUAAAUGCUAUCUAAGGACACCCUUUGAUAGCUAUUUUUAACAAAAAGUGCUAUAUAAACCCUGCUUUAGACAACAGUUUAUAAAGAAAACAAGCACUAUAUUACAUUUACCAGCGUCAUUUACCAUAGCGCUUUUAAAGUGCUAUAAAUGGUCCGAAAAAUCACUAUCUAUGACCAUUUUUUGCAUAAUGUCUCCUCUCAUAUUAAUCCUCAUAUUACAUCAUUACUUAUCAUAACUCUAUUUCUUUUAAAAUAAUAUAAUAUUAAAUAAAAGUGCAUCAUCAUAAUCCUAAAUAAGACUCAACCUAUUUUAAUAUUAUUAAAUUAAUUGAUUAAAAAUUUGGGGUUUGUACAUGUUCAUCUAGGGAGUCUUCUACAGUGCCUACCAAAUCCAUGUUUCUCUAAUCCGUCGGGUGAAUGGACCAUACGACGCACGAUCGUCAUCAAAAUAUGACAAAGACAAUUAGCGUCUUAUAUGCCUUGGGGAGUGGGGUUACCUUCUACUCGGAGAACUCCUAGGAGAUCUUAUUUUUGGAGAAUGUCUAGGAGAUCUUAUGUUCAGAGAAUGUCUAGGGGACCUGGAUCUUGAUGGAAGGGUAUUCCUUCCCAUGCUGCUAUGAUGUGGGGAAGGAGGUCGAAUAAUUGAACGAGGAUAUGGUGAUCUCCUCAGUAAUCCUUGGAGUGGGGAUCCUUCAUUUCUUUGAUUUGUCGGUUCUGAUCCUUAAUCAUAUAAUUUUUGCGGUGUAGGGUUUGAAGGAUGUUGUUGAACAUGACAUCUACGGGAGAUGUGUUGCUUGCUUCCUUGUUUGGCCGCGAGGGGACAAUUAGUGGAGCCUCUCGAAGGGAACUCGCCAUUGAUGGGACACGAUGGUGCACUCGUCAGUUGGUGAGGGAGUUAAUGUUUGACCGUCACGUUGUGGACGGUGGAUCUCACUCUUGGGAUGCUGCACCGUUGGCCAUCGUAAGAGUAGGUUCCUUUUAGGAAAUUUAUGAAGAUUUGGUCUUUUAAGUAGGAAAAUACGAUACCACUAAUUGUACCUUAUAAGAUGAUGACGUAUGAUGCAGUAGUCUUUGGCUGUUUGUGAGAUUUAAAACGACCAGGGGGGUGUACAUGCAAACACUCUUACGCUCAAGUAAGUUUAAGAUGGUUAGAGAUAGAAAUGGUAUCAUACCUUUGGGGAUUGUGUAAAGUCCUCUUAUAUAAAGGUGACGGGCAUGAGUCGUUGUAAGGCACAAUGAGGCAUCUGACGGUUACAAAUUUCCAGGAAUCGUUAUCGUCGAGCGAGAAUCGUGGGCAUGUUCUACAUUCAGUUUGAAUGUGUCUUACACCCUCCUCGCAGAGAGAGGGUGUGUGUCGGAAGUAAUCGACCCAAAUGCAAGAUUGGGCCUGUUUUGGUUCGGGCAUGUACAAAUAAGCAUUACACAACUGCUCAGUCCGGAACAUAUUUAAUAUAAAAAGAUCAAUAAAAAAUGAGGCAUGCUCUAAGGAAUCAAUUCUAAAUGACGUGAAAUCUUAGCAAUGUACAUUUAGUUGAACCUAAAUACAUGAAAACUAUCAUGCAAAUUCAAGCUUCGAACUUGAAGAAAUCCAUAAAAGAAUAAUGUAUUGUGAUUAGCAAAGCACAAUCACAUACAUCUCGAUUGUUCGAUCAAGGAUGAUCCAGUUCUUAAAAAAAAUUACUAUUUAAUAUAAAACUAGAGUUCGUAAAGUAGACUGCCCAAAACCAAGAUGUAGUGAUUGUGUGCAAUCAUAUAAUCGUGACUACACCUAAUCUUGAUGUAACAAUCAUAGCUUAUUACCCCAUCCCGUCCUUAAUAUAAGAAGAAAACCCAAAAAAUUUUAAAACUAAGACAAUCAUUAAUUGUUGUAACUUUUUAAAUAUUUUUACAAAUAUACAAUCAUAAUCUUUUACGUAAUAAAUACACCAUAAAAGUUAUGACUUUUUUUAUAAAUAGAAUCAAUUUUUUUUUGAAAAAUUUCAUACUGGAGGGAGAAAUUUUGUUUAACAAUAAAGGUUAGUUGUUACUCAAAUGUGCACAAGUUGAUCCGAUAAUAACGUGAAAACAACAUACAAGACAUGAAGUUAAAUAUGUAUUUAAAAAGAUAAAAAUAUAAUUAAUGUGUGCACAAAAAUAAUCCCGACGAAUGCCUUUUACCCUUUUGUGACUUCAGUUGGACAUUUUUAUUACUAAAGUAUAAUAGAUAAUUUUUUUGACAAAAGCAUAAUAAUAUAAAUUGAUGACCCUGUUCAAAAAAAAUAUAAAUUGAUGACCUCAACACAAAAUAUUCUUAGGUGUUUUCCUAUAAAUAGUUGUUUCACUCUUUCCAGUGUGUCAAUCAAAAUUCGAUCAAAAUAUGAGCUCUAAAUAUUCAUUAGUAUUACUUUUACUUGGAAUGAUAAUGCUUACCACUGUGAUUGGUGAAAGGAAUAAUAAUAAAUUUGAAUAUGAUCCUAUGUUAGAUCCAGAAGAUUAUUGGCCAGAGAUUUUUCAUGAACCACUACCAUCCCACUAUAAAAUACCUAAAGAGGAGUUACCUGAUUAUGAGACAAACUAGUCAAAUGAAGCCAUCAACCACACCGUUUGAGCCAGUCCACAUUGCAAAAAUUUCUUAUCAUUACAAGUGAUCGAAGUGGCAAAAGUGGGUCUAGUAAAAUAAUAAGAAUAAUUGUUUGUUAUAUGAAGUUUUCUUUUCUUUAUUUUUUUCUUCCUAUUUACCUUUAAAAUUCUAUUUUUUUAAGUAAUGAAGUACAAUUUGCCCCUUUAUUUGAUUAAAGGCUCAAUAAACAUGUAUAUGUAUAAUAAUUACCUCUUAUUUCAGCAUAAAUAAUGUCAACUACUAAAAAUUUUAUCUAUGAUUACAACAAUAAUGCCAAUUUGGUUUGAUAUAUACUCCAUCUAUUUUUCCUCAAAAAAUAUACUCAAUCUAUUUCCAAUUUAAUUGUCAUUUUUAUAAUUUUUCUUUGUCUCAAUAUGACUAAGAGCGGGAGUGGACAUGUGUAGCGUGAUCCCGACAGGGAGGCAUGCUCCAAUGUGGAACGACGCAGGCGAAUUGGCGUGCUCCUUUGAGUGCGAAGCCUUGAGGCUGCGUAAUAUUGCACAUUUGUAGCCGUGUGAGUGGUCUAGAACUGAGCUAUUUUAUUUUUAAAUUCAUCUUCUUUUUCAUGAUAGAGGGCUAAGUGAUUUGGUGUAGUUUCGGAGAAUAUCAUAUCUAUACUAUAUGUAAAGAAAACUACCCCUUUCAGCUCUUUUGGGUUGGAUUUUUCUUUGCGGAAAUGCUCUCAAUUUUCAAUACAAAUAACACAUGUAACAAAUAGAUAAGAAUAGAUUUAAAUAUUUAUACUAUAUAUAAAGAAAACUACCCCUUUUAGCUCUUUUGGGUUGAAUUUUUCUUUCCAAAAAUUCCCUCAAUUUUCAAUACAAAUAACACAUGUAACAAAUAUAUAAAAAUAAAUUUAAAUAUUAAAAUAAAAGUGUAACAAACAUAAAUGUUCAAUUUUUUACUUUAUCAUUUAAAAAGUGUAACAAACUAGAUGAGUGUAUCCAUACUUAUUUUUUCAUUAUCCCAAUUACAUGCCCUUAAACAACAACUUUUUCUAUUCUCUAAAAAAACAACUUUUUCUAUAAUAAAGAUUGUUGUUGGUUUCAUUAAAUAAAUACUCCAUCCGUUCCUUUUUAAGUGUCACUUUUGCAGAAAUUUUUUGUUCCUAUUUAACUGGCACUUUCAAAGUUCAAUGCAACAUUAAAUGUUGUUUUACCAAUAUUAUCCUUAGUUAUUUAUUGCGGAGAGAGAAAUAUAUGAAAUGAGAUAUUAAAUGAAUAAGAUCAUUAUAGUAAAAGUAUAGCUUAUUGCAUUAAAAGGAAUAUCAAUUGUUGAUUGUCUUGAUUUCGUAACUCGCGAAGCGUAUUACGAAAUGUGCAUCACAGGAUCCUGAGGAAUUGACCUAUGUUCAGUCUCGUAUUAACCCCCGUCACGCACUAUGAUAUCAUCCUUUAACGAUAUCAUCAACAUAUAUAUUAUAUCAUCAACAUAUAUAUGAACAAUUAAAAUUUCAUCCUUUAAUAAUUUUCAAAAGAGUGUGAUGUCAACUUGAUCUUGUGAAAACCGUUUUCUAAAAUAAUGUUACUAGGGUCUUUCAUACCAAGCUAUGGCAGCUUGUUCCAGAUUAUACAAUGAAAUCUUCAAACUCAGGAAGUUGUUUCAUACACUUCUUCAGAAAUGAUACCUAUAAAAUACGAACUUAUAAAAUCCACUUGAUAUAGAAUGAUAUCAUUAUUUACAACACAUGAUAAUAAUAGACUAAUUGCUUAUAAUUUUGCUACAUGUGCAAAUGUUUCAGCGAAAUCUAUCUCUUCUUGCUGACUAUUUCCUUGUACUACUAGUCUAGCUUUAAUUUUUACUAUAUCAUUUUGUUUAUUGAGCUUGUUUCUGAAAACCCACUUUAUGACAAUGACAUUAUUACCUUUUGAUCUUGGAACUAUUUCUCAAACAUCAUUUCACUUUGAUAAUUGUGCCCUACAAAAUUCCACUAGUCUUUUUAUGACUUCCGAUCAUAACAAGUAGUAUUUACUAUUUUUACAGAGGCUUUUGUGUCAGNGGGGGGGGGGUGGAUUAAAAGGCGACGAGGUCAUAUCAUAUUCCCUUGAUUGAUUGCUCGAUUUUAAGACAUCUGAUCAAAUUAGUUAGGCCAGUGUCUUGGUAACUGUUAAGAAUCAUGGAAUCAUAGGGAGAAAAGUCAUAGAUGUAAGCGAGAUAGCAAGCAUAAGAGUACUCAUGUGGGAGAUACUCAUAGAAACUCAUUGUAGAAAUGAAUAGAUUGAUAAAAAGAUAUUGAAUGAGUACAAUAGUGUUCCUAUAUAUAAGAGAUUAGUUUGAGUAACUAACUCUAACUAACUUCUAACCAAACUACUAACUCUAGUUUACUUAUCAACUAACUAUAGUUGAUUACAAUUACUCUAGUCUAACUACCUUAACUAACUACACAUAACUUCCAACUAUUUUAACAGUAACUAACACUCUUCAAUAGUUAUGACUCCUUAAUGUCUUAGGUUAGUCUAUAACCAUUGAAGGAUUAGUAACGCCAAAUUAAGCACAUAAAUCAAUAUUAGAAAAUUUCUAAAGCUAAUAACAACUAAACGAUUAAAUUAAAUUAGGUCAAGCCAUUAAAGUCAGGGUUAGUAACCACCAAGACCUAAAUCAAUUUAUAAACAUUUAUAAAUGCAUAAAAAAGCAUUAAGGAUAAACUCAACCAAUAAAAUAAUAAAGUAGACAACUGAAGUCAUAGGAUAAUUUAAAGUUACAAAAUCAAACGAUUACAGAGAAGUUCCUCUUUUAUGACCCAACCCCGAUAGAAUUAGUUACUCGUUAUUUCUAAACAUAAACUACUGCAUAUGAAUAAGAAAGCAUGAGAAAAGGAUCAUCAGUUGAUGAAUCCAUGGCUCUCAAAUGGAUCUGAUCGCUCCUAAUAUACCAAAAUCGUGUUUCUGCCUUCAUAUUCUCAUCAAAAAGUGUUUUUUCACUGACCUAGGUGUUUGCCUUAUAUAGGCACGUAUUUUCCUUAAAAUUAGUGAAAGUUGGCCCGCGAUGUUAGUUAAACAUAGAGUGAACACCUUGCAUGUCAUUUAUAUCUCACGAUGUGGAGGUUAUAGCCUGCAAUACGAGAUAGAUAGUGGUUGAAUCUUACAAAUUCCAUUUUGAUUUUACAAAUGACUUAAAACUUCUAUCUAAUUUCAUAUCAUCAAUGAUCCUCUUAGAAUCUAAUUGAGUUAUUUUAUUUAUGAGUUCUAGUUUAUGCAAUUGAUACCCAUGUACAUUCGAUAAUUCUUGUUAUUUAAUUGUGAUCUUACCAAUAUUGAAUUGAACCUAAGGUAUAAUUCACUACCAGCCCUAAAUUUGUAUCUGGAUAAUGGUUUGUUUUGGUUGUUUGUAUGACUCUAUGUUUGUAAAAUAGUUCUUUUGGCACACCUUGUACUAGAGGAGUUGCUUUUGGUGGUUAAUAUAUAUUCCAUUUUUUAUUGUUCAAAAAAAAGUUAUUGUUCGCUAAGUAAUUGUCUUAGAGAUAUCAUAUCAUUUAGCUGUGACAAAAUUUAGUUGCCGAUCAUGCUUUUGAUGUUAGACACGCGAGACCUGGCUUGAGUCAAAAAAUUGGUUUUGCUAUAUUUUGCUAAAUUGUCGUGAACAUAAUCAAUUGUUACGGCUAGUACCACUAUUACCAAAUCCUAAUCUCUGUUAAUCAUCAGUUGUUUCAUUUAAUUUAGCUAAUUAAGUGGAACAUAAUUGCCAUGGUUUAGAACUGGGGUUAUUGCUUUAGGUUUUUCAAACGGUUUUUAAAGUCUCCUUAUUGGAGAUGCUUUCUCUAAGGAUUCAAUUCUAAAUAACGUGAAAUCUUAGUAAUGUACAUUAGUUCGGCAUUAAAACAUGAUGAAAUUCAUAAAACAUUAACGGAUAAGAUUAGUGUUGUGUAAUCAUUGAGACGAUCCAGAUUUUAAAACCUUACCUUUUAAUCCAAAAUUAGAUUUUAGAUAUAGACCGUCCGAAACCGAGAUGUUGUAAUUGUGUGCAAUCAUAAGAUCAUGACUACACCUAACCCUAAUCUAAUAAACACCAAGAAUGAUAUAUAUAUAUAUAUAUAUAUAUAUAUAUAUAUAUAUAUAUAUAUAUAUAAUACCGU